AAGAUUUGAAUGAGCUAACAACUUGCUACUCAGCUGACUGGAAAUAUGAAAAAAUGUAAGAAGAAUGGGUAAGUCACAAAGACUUAGUGAGAGAUAACAACCACUACCAACUAGAUGAGAAACACACAAAGGCACGAGCAUUUGAUUUUUAGAAGCUUGUAACAAUUAUUGUAUAGUAGUAACCAUGUAAUAUAAAUAAUAUUUGAUUCAAUUCGUUAUGGUUUAAAAUUUUAAAUAAGAAAAAAAUAUAGAAAUUUAAUCAAAUAAAAUAAUUCGUUACGAAAGAAUCGAGGGACGGCUCCAUCUCGUUGAUAGUCAUUUCCUCCUAAGAGUGACCUUUCACUUAGGGGCGGCUCCAUCUAACGGAUAGCCCUUUUCUCAUCGAUUACAAAAACGCAUUCUCAUCCAAUCAAAUAAAAAGAAUNNNNACCGUGAAUUCAAAAUACAUUCCACUAAAACCAUGUUUUAACAACAGUUCCAAACUUAUGUAAAAUUAAACACAAUAAAACCAUAAUUUUCAAUCCGCUACUUUAUAUAUCAUAAGAAAUCAAACUAGAGUCCAUAUGUAAACAAAUAAGGAUGACGAAAACGGUUUCAAAGGCGAAUAAAAAUAUUUAUAAUCAAUAUUAACAUAGAAAAUUAGUAACAUAUAAUUUAUAACGGUAGUUAAAAUAAGUGAUAAUGAUUGUCAUCAACUCACAACUAUGAAGACCGGCUAAUUUUGCUCUCCAACGACUCCGGGAGAAGCAGAUGAAGCAGCAACGGUUGAAUCUGAACAUCAAUCAUGUUUAUUAAAACUUAGAAAAUCAUUCUAGAGUUUAAACUAAGCAUAUGGAACCAUAAAUUUCCCAAAAAUCUACUCUAAUCUCUAACAUUAAUUUUCUAAACCAAAUUACAUAUACNNNNNNNNNNNNNNNNNNNNNNNNNNNNNNNNNNNNNNNNNNNNNNNNNNNNNNGGUACUCAUCUCCACCCUUAGAUCAUUAACCCUAGCCCCAAAAUUAUACCCAAUCACAUUUGUUAAAGCUUUACUUUGGAAGGAGCAAGUAUCUUCAAGGUUGUCUGGUUUCUAAUUGAAAUUUGGUGAUUUGAAAAAAUUAAAAAAAAUGGAAGAAGGAAAGGUUGGAGAAGUGAGAACAAGGGAGUACUGACAGAGAGAGAGAGAGA
rnacentral:lncRNA from 1 species